GAUGAACGCUGGCGGCGUGCCUAAUACAUGCAAGUCGAGCGAACAGAUGAGGAGCUUGCUCCUCUGACGUUAGCGGCGGACGGGUGAGUAACACGUGGAUAACCUACCUAUAAGACUGGGAUAACUUCGGGAAACCGGAGCUAAUACCGGAUAAUAUAUUGAACCGCAUGGUUCAAUAGUGAAAGACGGUUUUGCUGUCACUUAUAGAUGGAUCCGCGCCGCAUUAGCUAGUUGGUAAGGUAACGGCUUACCAAGGCAACGAUGCGUAGCCGACCUGAGAGGGUGAUCGGCUACACUGGAACUGAGACACGGUCCAGACUCCUACGGGAGGCAGCAGUAGGGAAUCUUCCGCAAAGGGCGAAAGCUUGACGGAGCAACGCCGCGUGAGUGAUGAAGGUCUUCGAAUCGUAAAACUCUGUUAUUAGGGAAGAACAAAUGUGUAAGUAACUAUGCACGUCUUGACGGUACCUAAUCAGAAAGCCACGGCUAACUACGUG
rnacentral:rRNA from 1 species